GUCACAUUGACUGUUUGCAGGCAGCUCUAACCCAAGAGGAAAGUAAAUAGGGCACAUGUACAAAGGCUUACAUUUUAUGUACGAAGAAGGAGAAAAUCCCUUUCUUUUCAGCACAUUAAACAUGUUUGGCCCAGGGCAAGGCAAGAGGGUUAUACCACUUGGUCUGUUUCUUCAUAAACAGAGGUCCUGCUAUUUCACCUCUAUGGCAGUUUUCUAGGCUAUGUCUUUACCAUUCUUGAAAUGAAAAGGAAAGAUUUCUGAUGUACCCUAAAAGCAGGAUGAUUGUUUUUUUUUUUUCCAGGGAUAUAGUGUAUUAUCAGCUUGAUGUGCGAUUGGAGAAACCGAAGGGGUCACUUCUUAGUGCAAAGUCAGAUGAAGGGGCAUCCCGCCUAAACAGCACGCAACUACUGGAUGUCUGUUCUGCACCAGAUGAACUCUUGGUAUGAUUCCUAACCGGUACAAUUUUAAUAUAUAAGAGAGACAGUACAAAAAGAUCCUGAAGACCUUG
ensembl:lncRNA